CGUAAUACCGGAUGACGUCGGAGAAUCGCAUGAUUCACUGACGAAAGAUAUUCGGUUUGGGAGCGUCUCGCGGCCUAUCAGCUUGUUGGUGGGGUAAUGGCCUACCAAGGCAACGACGGGUAGCUGGUCUGAGAGGAUGAUCAGCCACACUGGGACUGAGACACGGCCCAGACUCCCUACGGGAGGCAGCAGUGGGGAAUCUUGCGCAAUGGGCGAAAGCCUGACGCAGCAACGCCGCGUGCGGGAUGAAGGCCUUCGGGCUGUAAACCGCUUUCAGCAGGAACGAAAAUGACGGUACCUGCAGAAGAAGGAGCGGCCAACUACGUG
rnacentral:rRNA from 1 species